AUACGUAGGGGCCAAACGUUGUCCGGAUUUAUUGGGCGUAAAGGGCUCGUAGGCGGUUCAACAAGUCGAUCGUGAAAGCCCGGGGCUCAACCCCGGGACGCCGGUCGAAACUGUUGUGACUAGGGUCCGGUAGAGGUGAGUGGAAUUCUCGGUGUAGCGGUGGAAUGCGCAGAUAUCGAGAGGAACACCAGUUGCGAAGGCGGCUCACUGGGCCGGUACCGACGCUAAGGAGCGAAAGCGUGGGGAGCAAACAGGAUUAGAUACCCCAGUAGUCC
rnacentral:rRNA from 1 species